rnacentral:rRNA from 1 species
UACGGAGGGUGCAAGCGUUGUCCGGAUUUAUUGGGUUUAAAGGGUGCGUAGGCGGCCCGUUAAGUCAGUGGUGAAAGCCUCCAGCUCAACUGGAGAACUGCCAUUGAUACUGGCGGGCUUGAGUACAGACGAGGUUGGCGGAAUUUGUUGUGUAGCGGUGAAAUGCUUAGAUAUCGUCAAGAACACCGAUAGCGAAGGCAGCUUACUAGGCUGUAACUGACGCUGAGGCACGAAAGUGUGGGGAUCAAACAGG